GGAAUUUUGCGCAAUGGGGGCAACCCUGACGCAGCAACGCCGCGUGGAGGAAGAAGGCCCUCGGGUUGUAAACUCCUGUCCUUGGGGAAGAUGGUGACGGUACCCUGGGAGGAAGCCCCGGCUAACUCCGUGCCAGCAGCCGCGGUAACACGGGGGGGGGCGAGCGUUGUUCGGAUUCACUGGGCGUAAAGGGCGCGCAGGCGGCGCUGGAAGUCCUGGGUGAAAGCCCCCGGCUCAACUGGGGGAGGGCCUGGGAAACCACAGUGCUGGAGUGCUGGAGGGGGAAGCGGAAUUCCCGGUGUAGCGGUGAAAUGCGUAGAUAUCGGGAGGAACAUCCGAGGCGAAGGCGGCUUCCUGGACAGACACUGACGCUGAGGCGCGAAAGCUAGGGGAGCAAAC
rnacentral:rRNA from 1 species